UUUGACAAAGUCUGAAAGGGUAAACCUGGGGUCCAGGCUCUAAAACCUAACUUAAAAUUGCCUGGAAUUAGCUUUGAGAUUCCUCGCUGUACCAAUUCUGAUCCCAGAAGCAGGAGAUCAAAACAAGCUUUACGGAAAGACCUCAGCUUGGUACUCAAGACUUCUCAAUCAAGCUUCAGCCUACCUGUCCAGCCAUGUCUCUCAGAUCUCCAUCCUUAAACUUCACUGGCUGACUCACUGGGCCCCAAAAUACAUGUGUCCAAUUCAGGUCUUGGCACAGAGGACAGAGGAGACACUUGCUUAUUGUGUUUGUGCAGUCUACAUCUCUCUGCCCCAGAUGAGAUGAACUUGUGGACAACUAAUCCUAGUUCAACAAGUGACAGCCCUCUGAGGAACGUUGGCUAGAGACUUUGAUUUCCAUUUUACUGAGGAAGCUACUGAUGCCCAGAGAAGCUAGAGAGUUUGUUCAAAGCGCCACAGCAAAUCAACCCUACUUUACACAUCAGUGGGGAGACCCUAAGGCAGGUCCAGUGGGUGACAUCAAAGAGGAAGCCUGGAGGUGUUCGUUGGUUCCCUGAGAAGGCUGAGGAUGUACCCUUGUUAAGCGUGUGUGUG